AAAAGAAGUUCACCAAUUACGUAAAAGAGUUGUUGAUUUGGCCCUUUCAUUUUUUAGGGGUUACUCUACUGCCAUGGACAGGUGUUGGCAACCUGUGGCCCCGGGUGGUGUUGAUUAACCUCUGUGUUUGCUCUGGAGGACAGCUGCUUCUUUGAGAAAGAGUGAGAGAGGGAGAGGAUGAAAGGGAAUCGGUUCUAGAAGCAGGUCUGGGUCAGCUGAGACUGUGAGAGCGAAGAAAUUUUGGAGCUUUUGAAAUAUGACGGAGGAGGAAUGCAGUUGGAGGUCAAUAGGGCUGAUGUAGAGGAUCAACCUCCUGCGAUUCCAUUCUUCUUUCGUCAGCUGUUGUCAAGGUGAAGCCCUUAUGCACUUUAUGAAAUUGACAUGGGGCACUGUUGAAUGAAUUGGAUGACUAAUAUAUGUUCCCUCAGUGAAGUAUGGAGUAAAUGAUAUGGUUACCUGAUUUCACAUACCGGUCCAUUUGAUUUGUUGUUUUGCGGGGACCUUUGGCCUUUUAUAAGGGUUUCAUCCCAAAUUUUGGACGCCUAGGAUCUUGGAAUGUGAUCAUGUUUCUAACCUGUGAGCAGGGAUUGACUUCUUGGAAUUUAAACCUUAAGAGGUU
rnacentral:lncRNA from 1 species